AGCCGACGUCUCCACGGCUCAGGGACGGAAGUACGUCACCAUUCAGCACUGCAGAGCCAGGCCGGGGGCGUGUUCUAUACACGGGGCCGGGAGCUCGUCCCGUUCGCGGGUCUUUUUCUUCUAUUUAAAAGGUCUUCUACUGCUGCAAUGCAAGGCCCCUUCAUCCUCACUGGUUACCCACCCCCACACACAUGCCAGCAUAGGACCAGCGGUCCUAUAUACUGUACCUUCGCUGUGUGGAAGAACCACAGGAAGAUAAGAAACAGAUCACGAGAUUAGCAAUUAAGAGCUGCUUCUGUGGGAUGGUUGAUAAAUGAGACAAUGUAAUAUCACAGGAACUGAACUAACCAUUUGUUUAGGAUAAUUAUCUAUGUGUAUAAUGCCACCCAUGCACAAAACGAUAGCACAUGUAAUCUGAAACACCUCUGCCUUUAUACUGCAGUGUAAGCCUUUGUUACCUGAAGUUAACAAAAAAACAAACUGCAAUUAAAUGAGUAUACAGUAUCUAGUACUGUUACCUGAGUAAAACUGCAUACAUGUAUUUAUCAAUA